rnacentral:other from 1 species
GCGGGGCUACCCGGUUCGUCAGGCGAUUCAUCCCCUGAGCCGAUAAGCACUCUCUCGGGGACUGGCACUGUCGUGAUCCUGGUCACGGUACCUGGUUCCCACCUGCACUAGCGGGUUCUGGGAGGCUGACAGUCCAACGGCCAUGGUGGCUCCGCA